rnacentral:rRNA from 1 species
AGUGAACGCUGGCGGUAGGCCUAACACAUGCAAGUCGAACGGCAGCACAGUAAGAGCUUGCUCUUACGGGUGGCGAGUGGCGGACGGGUGAGGAAUACAUCGGAAUCUACUUUUUCGUGGGGGAUAACGUAGGGAAACUUACGCUAAUACCGCAUACGACCUACGGGUGAAAGCAGGGGAUCUUCGGACCUUGCGCGAUUGAAUGAGCCGAUGUCGGAUUAGCUAGUUGGCGGGGUAAAGGCCCACCAAGGCGACGAUCCGUAGCUGGUCUGAGAGGAUGAUAAGCGACACUGGAAGUGGGACAGGGACCAGAGUCCUACGGGAGGCAGCAGUGGGGAAUAUUGGACAAUGGGCGCAAGCCUGAUCCAGCCAUACCGCGUGGGUGAAGAAGGCCUUCGGGUUGUAAAGACCUUUUGUUGGGAAAGAAAAGCAGCAGGUUAAUACCCCGCUGUUCUGACGGUACCCAAAGAAUAAGCACCGGCUAACUUCGUG